AUAAACAACAUGGCGUCGACUGCGUCCAGCUGCGACACGAGCGAAGAAAUCAACAAAAGCUAGAAAACCGCAUUCGAAAUUUAGUCAUAAGGCAUCGAAACGAUGCUAUAUGCAUCUCUCAUCUGUCCAAGCGUGAAAAAGUGCAGGAAUUUAGACGAAACGGUGGGAAACUUAGAGCCUGCGUCAGACAACGGCUUUCUCUCCAGGCUCCGUCGAAGGAUCUUGCUGAAAAUGCGUCGACCAGGAUUUUGAACGACAUUGACUACAGGCCUGUUGCAAAAGGCUGCUGAGCUGAAGGAGGACACCAGCAUGCUUUUGCACAUUAAAAAAAAAAAAAAAAUACUGUGUGACUCUGAAGGUGCGGUACCAACAGGACCUGUUACGCACAGUACACAAAGUUUUUGUCAAGGCCUACGGAAACAAGUAUUGCAACCCGAGAUUAAGCAACGUAAACAUCCUUUACCGACAGCUACAUGUUCUUCAGUGAGACGGUCAUCCGUCAAAAUAUAGUUGACAAGGAAGUGCUGCGAAUGGACAAUCUUCAAAAAAGACAUUCGUGGACAUGGUGAAGAAUCAAGAGGGUCUUCAUGCUUCAGAAUACAGGAGUAGACAACAGAACUAGGAUUGACGUCUCUAAGGUCUCCGCAGCUCUUGGCACUAGUGAGUGUUCAGCAUUCAUUGGCAUCCAUACAUUCACAGGUUGUGACUCUGCUAGUGCCUUUCAUCGCAAAGAAAAAAAAAAAGAAAAAAAAAACAUUUUCUGUUGGAUGUCAUAAAAAAGAAUACCUGACUGGGUUUGCAAAGCUGGGCAGCAGUGUUAAACUUGACCUACAAACAUAUAAAACGUUGUUUAAAUACGUGCGCCACCUGUAUGGCCAGUCAGCUGUCAAAAAAUUUGAAUGAUGCCAGAUACAAAUCUUUCUGUAUGGCCUCAUCAGCCUUGCCAGCACUCUCUAUUCCCCCAACAACUGAUGCUCUGUGCCAACAUUGCAGGAGAGCAAACUAUCAAGCAGCAAUUAUGAAAGACUGUCUGACAGGUAAAAUGUGUGCCCCUUCACCCAUUGGGAAUGGGUAGGACAUUGAGGAUGGGCAGUUGGCAGUGACACGGAUGACUAAAAAUCCGGCCUCUGAUACCGUUUUGCAAGUAGUCCACUGUAGUUGCAAGGCAACCAAAUGUGACACGAGAAAAUGUUCUUGUAUGUCUGCAAAACUUUUUGUACUGAUUUAUGUCGGUGCCAAGCAUGCAAGAAUGUUUCCAAAGAAACAGACUUGGAUGGGAUGAUGACUUUGAUGAAAGUGAUUUUAAGGAGUAAUGUUGUCAUGUAAAGUUUUACUGUUUUUUUAUGUAUAUAUUUUUUUCUACUUUGUAGUGAUAUCCAAAUUUAAUAUUUUGUAUGACUUCCAUGGGCU